rnacentral:rRNA from 1 species
AGUGAACGCUGGCGGUAGGCCUAACACAUGCAAGUCGAACGGCAGCACAGUAAGAGCUUGCUCUUACGGGUGGCGAGUGGCGGACGGGUGAGGAAUACAUCGGCAUCUACUUUUUCGUGGGGGAUAACGUAGGGAAACUUACGCUAAUACCGCAUACGAUCUACGGGUGAAAGCAGGGGAUCUUCGGACCUUGCGCGAUUGAAUUAGCCGAUGUCGGAUUAGCUAGUUGGCGGGGUAAAGGCCCACCAAGGCGACGAUCCGUAGCUGGUCUGAGAGGAUGAUCAGCCACACUGGAACUGAGACACGGUCCAGACUCCUACGGGAGGCAGCAGUGGGGAAUAUUGGACAAUGGGCGCAAGCCUGAUCCAGCCAUACCGCGUGGGUGAAGAAGGCCUUCGGGUUGUAAAGCCCUUUUGUUGGGAAAGAAAAGCAGCAGGUUAAUACCCCGCUGUUCUGACGGUACCCAAAGAAUAAGCACCGGCUAACUUCGUG